rnacentral:rRNA from 1 species
GCCGGCGACCGGCGCACGGGUGAGUAACACGUAUGCAAUCCACCUGUAACAGGGGGAUAACCCGGAGAAAUCCGGACUAAUACCCCAUAAUAUGGGCUCUCCGCAUGGAGGAUUCAUUAAAGAGAGCAAUUUUGGUUACAGACGAGCAUGCGCUCCAUUAGCCAGUUGGCGGGGUAACGGCCCACCAAAGCGACGAUGGAUAGGGGUUCUGAGAGGAAGGUCCCCCACAUUGGAACUGAGACACGGUCCAAACUCCUACGGGAGGCAGCAGUGAGGAAUAUUGGUCAAUGGUCGGCAGACUGAACCAGCCAAGUCGCGUGAGGGAAGACGGCCCUACGGGUUGUAAACCUCUUUUGUCGGAGAGUAAAGUACGCUACGUGUAGCGUAUUGCAAGUAUCCGAAGAAAAAGCAUCGGCUAACUCCGUGCCAGCAGCCGCGGUAAUACGGAGGAUGCGAGCGUUAUCCGGAUUUAUUGGGUUUAAAGGGUGCGUAGGCGGCACGCCAAGUCAGCGGUGAAAUUUUCGGGCUCAACCCGGACUGUGCCGUUGAAACUGGCGAGCUAGAGUGCACAAGAGGCAGGCGGAAUGCGUGGUGUAGCGGUGAAAUGCAUAGAUAUCACGCAGAACCCCGAUUGCGAAGGCAGCCUGCUAGGGUGCGACAGACGCUGA